rnacentral:rRNA from 1 species
UAGAGUUUGAUCAUGGCUCAGAAUCAACGCUGGCGGCGUGCCUAACACAUGCAAGUCGAACGCGAAAGGGGCUUCGGCCCUGAGUAGAGUGGCAGACGGGUGAGUAACGCGUGGGUGACCUACCCUCGAGCGGGGGAUAACGUCCCGAAAGGGACGCUAAUACCGCAUGACAUCCUGCCCUUGGACGGGCGGUGAUCAAAGCCGGGGAUCGCAAGACCUGGCACUUGAGGAGGGGCCCGCGUCCGAUUAGCUAGUUGGUGGGGUAACGGCUCACCAAGGCGACGAUCGGUAGCCGGCCUGAGAGGGCGGACGGCCACACUGGGACUGAGACACGGUCCAUACUCCUACGGGAGGCAGCAGUGAGGAAUAUUGCACAAUGGACGAAAGUCUGAUGCAGCGACGCCGCGUGGGCGACGAAGGCCUUCGGGUUGUAAAGCCCUUUUGGCAGGGACGAGUGAGGACGGUACCUGUCGAAUAAGUCUCGGCUAACUACGUGCCAGCAGCCGCGGUAAAACGUAGGAGGCGAGCGUUAUCCGGAUUUACUGGGCGUAAAGCGUGCGUAGGCGGUUGGUCAAGUCAGUUGUUAAAGCCCCUGGCUCAACUGGGGGAGGUCAUUUGAUACUGGCCGGCUUGAGGGUGAGAGAGGAGAGUGGAAUUCCCGGUGUAGCGGUGGAAUGCGUAGAGAUCGGGAGGAACACCAGUGGCGAAAGCGGCUCUCUGGCUCACUUCUGACGCUGAGUGCACGAAAGCGUGGGGAGCAAACGGGAUUAGAUACCCCGGUAGUCCACGCCCUAAACGAUGAGGGCUGGGUGUCGGCAGGGUUACCUGUCGGUGCCGAAGCAAACGCGUUAAGCCCUCCGCCUGGGGACUACGAACGCAAGUUUAAAACUCAAAGGAAUAGACGGGGGCCCGCACAAGCAGCGGAGCGUGUGGUUCAAUUCGAUGCAACACGAAGAACCUUACCAGGGUUUGACAUGUAUGUGGUAGGAAACUGAAAGGGGCCCGACCCGCAAGGGAGCAUGCACAGGUGCUGCAUGGCCGUCGUCAGCUCGUGCCGUGAGGUGUUGGGUUAAGUCCCGCAACGAGCGCAACCCUUGCCCUGUGUUGCUACUUCGAUAGAAGGCACUCUCAGGGGACCGCCAGCGAUAAGCUGGAGGAAGGUGGGGAUGACGUCAAGUCAGCAUGGCCUUUAUGUCCAGGGCUACACACGUGCUACAAUGGCCGGUACAGAGCGUUCCCAAGCCGCGAGGCGGAGGUAAUCGCAAAAAGCCGGUCUCAGUUCGGAUUGCAGGCUGCAACUCGCCUGCAUGAAGCCGGAAUCGCUAGUAAUGCUACAUCAGAACGGUAGCGUGAAUACGUUCCCGGGCCUUGUACACACCGCCCGUCACAUCACGAAAGCGGGUUGUACUAGAAGUCUGCAGGCUGACCCGCAAGGGAGGCAGCGGCCCAAGGUAUGACUCGUGAUUGGGGUGAAGUCGUAACAAGGUAGCCGUAA